GAUGAAGAACGUAGCGAAAUGCGAUACUUGGUGUGAAUUGCAGAAUCCCGUGAACCAUCGAGUCUUUGAACGCAAGUUGCGCCCGAAGCCAUUAGGCCGAGGGCAUGCCUGCCUGGGCGUCACACGUCGUUGCCCCCCCAUCUACUCCUUCGGGAUUGCGGGGGGCGGAUGAUGGCCUCCCGUGCGCCUCGUCGCGCGGUUGGCAUAAAUGCCAAGACCUCGGCGACGCACGCCACGACAAUCGGUGGUUGCGAAACCUCGGUUGCCCGUCGUGUGCGGUCGUCGCGCAUCGAGGGCUCGAAAAAAUUGCCGGGCUCCGGCUCGGCUUUCAACGCGACCCCAGGUCAGGCGGGGUUACCCGCUGAAUUUAAGCAUAUCAAUAAGCGGAGGA
rnacentral:misc_RNA from 1 species